rnacentral:rRNA from 1 species
UACGUAGGUGGCGAGCGUUGUCCGGAAUUAUUGGGCGUAAAGGGCGCGUAGGUGGGAUAGUCAGUCUGUCUUAAAAGUGCGGGGCUCAACCCCGUGAUGGGGCGGAAACUGCUAUUCUUGAGUGCAGGAGAGGAAAGCGGAAUUCCCAGUGUAGCGGUGAAAUGCGUAGAUAUUGGGAGGAACACCAGUGGCGAAGGCGGCUUUCUGGACUGUGUCUGACACUGAGGCGCGAAAGCCAGGGGAGCGAACGGG